UGCAUUAACUACUGUAAGUCGCUCUGGAUAAGAGUGUCUGCUAAAUGACUAAAA
rfam:Salmo salar isolate Sally breed double haploid chromosome ssa07, whole genome shotgun sequence.